UACGAAGGGGGCUAGCGUUGCUCGGAAUCACUGGGCGUAAAGGGUGCGUAGGCGGGUCUUUAAGUCAGAGGUGAAAUCCUGGAGCUCAACUCCAGAACUGCCUUUGAUACUGAGGAUCUUGAGUUCGGGAGAGGUGAGUGGAACUGCGAGUGUAGAGGUGAAAUUCGUAGAUAUCGUAAGGAAGACCAGUGGCGAAGGCGGAUCUCUGGACAGUUACUGACACUGAGGCACGAAGGCCAGGGGAGCAAACGGG
rnacentral:rRNA from 1 species